CCCUCAAGAAUGCUCUGCGGUAUUUCCCUCCGCCACUUCAUGAAACGCUUGCGCCGGAGUUCGCGCAGGAGCUGUCGGAUUACGGCCACAUCUACAUGUACCGCUUCAUGCCCACCAUUGCCAUGAAGGCGUACCCGAUCGACGAGUACCCGGCCAAGACGAAGCAGACUGCCGCCGUGAUGCUCAUGAUCAUGAACAACCUGGACCCGCAGGUGGCUCAGUUUCCCGAGGAACUGAUCACCUACGGCGGCAACGGGCAGGUAUUCUCCAACUGGGCACAGUUCUGGCUGGUGAUGAACUACCUGUCCAAGAUGGACGAG